rnacentral:rRNA from 1 species
GACGAACGCUGGCGGCGUGCUUAACACAUGCAAGUCGAACGGAAAGGCCCUGCUUUUGUGGGGUGCUCGAGUGGCGAACGGGUGAGUAACACGUGAGUAACCUGCCCUUGCCUUUGGGAUAACUUCAGGAAACUGGGGCUAAUACCGGAUAGGAGCUCCUGCUGCAUGGUGGGGGUUGGAAAGUUUCGGCGGUUGGGGAUGGACUCGCGGCUUAUCAGCUUGUUGGUGGGGUAGUGGCUUACCAAGGCUUUGACGGGUAGCCGGCCUGAGAGGGUGACCGGCCACAUUGGGACUGAGAUACGGCCCAGAUUCCUACGGGAGGCAGCAGUGGGGAAUAUUGCACAAUGGGCGGAAGCCUGAUGCAGCAACGCCGCGUGCGGGAUGACGGCCUUCGGGUUGUAAACCGCUUUCGCCUGUGACGAAGCGUGAGUGACGGUAAUGGGUAAAGAAGCACCGGCUAACUACGUG